CCGGCUGUGAGGCAAAGAGAAAGAACUCUCUGGAAUUCACAACAUUCCCCCUCCAAUUAAUCCCCAGCCGCCCCGCUGCGUGUGAAUGGGUUGUGCUGGGGAUUCGUAGCUCUGAUGCCGGGGGAUUUGCUGAUUCCUUUGAGCCCCCUGAGGAGAGGUGAUAUGGAGAGCAGAUAAUGAGCAUGCAGCGCUGAGGCGAGGGACCAGAAAAGGCUUUGGAGUUCCUAACUGGUUUGGGACCAGAGACGGGGAGCACUUAACCAGAGCUCCACUCAGAAGACACCUGGAAUGGGGCUCAUCCCAGACUCAGCCAGGAGGGACAGACCUUAACCUUGGCUGGGACCCAGAAGGCAGAGGAUAGAAAAGAAAAAGGAAGUAAAGAGGAAAUAGAGAAAGCAAACUCUAUGUGGACUGAAAUACAACCUGCUGGGAAGACUGGAAAACGGUUUAGAGUCCUCUGGAUGCCAGAUGUGUUCGUGACCCAGCUACAAGGAAACUGGAUUCUUUCUGGUCACGUUGGAUAUCUGCAUGCGCUUCUAAGUGUUGUAUUGCAUAAAGGAUCCAGCUCCCUGACCAGGGAUUGAACUUGGGGCCCCUGCGUUGGAAGCAUCGAGUCCCAGCCUCUGGACAACCAGGGAAGUCCCUACAGCUCCAUUUUCAAUCAAGAACACUGAGGCUCAGUGGAAAACAAUGUGUGGGCUUGUUGCUAAAGAAGAGGAGCAGUGAUGUUGAGGAAUGCUUACUCAUCUCUGCAACCUAAAGACUCCUCACAAUUCAUCUAGAUGAUGAUGCACUUGUAUGAGAGGUGGUAGCCGGAGUGGAAAUGGGUUCCUGAAGGGAUUUUCUGGGUAACUGUGAGGACAAUGCUGGUGUGAUUGGACUUUUGCUAUGGUUUCUGACAUGUAGUCAGUUUCCUGUUGGAACAAUAAAUAUUCUUGCCCAAUGAACCUAA
ensembl:lncRNA